GGAGGAAAGUAGGGGAUCGUAAGACCUUUCGCUUUCGGAGUGGCCGAUAUCAGAUUAGCUUGUUGGUGAGGUAAAGGCUCACCAAGGCGACGAUCUGUAGCUGGUCUGAGAGGACGACCAGCCACACUGGGACUGAGACACGGCCCAGACUCCUACGGGAGGCAGCAGUGGGGAAUUUUGGACAAUGGGCGCAAGCCUGAUCCAGCAAUGCCGCGUGAGUGAAGAAGGCCUUCGGGUUGUAAAGCUCUUUCAGUCGAGAAGAAAAGGUUGUGACUAAUAAUCAUAACUCAUGACGGUAUCGACAGAAGAAGCACCGGCUAACUACGUGCCAGCAGCCGCGGUAAUACGUAGGGUGCGAGCGUUAAUCGGAAUUACUGGGCGUAAAGGGUGCGCAGGCGGUUCUGUAAGUCAGAUGUGAAAUCCCCGGGCUCAACCUGGGAACUGCGUUUGAAACUACAAAGCUAGAAGGG
rnacentral:rRNA from 1 species